UAACAAGGAUUCCCCUAGUAACUGCGAGUGAAGCGGGAAAAGCUCAAAUUUAAAAUCUGGCGGUCUUUGGCCGUCCGAGUUGUAAUCUGGAGAAGUGCUUUCCGCUCUGGACCGUGUACAAGUCUCUUGGAAUAGAGCGUCAUAGAGGGUGAGAAUCCCGUCUUUGACACGGACUACCAGUGCUUUGUGAUGUGCUUUCAAAGAGUCGAGUUGUUUGGGAAUGCAGCUCAAAAUGGGUGGUAAAUUCCAUCUAAAGCUAAAUAUUGGCGAGAGACCGAUAGCGAACAAGUACCGUGAGGGAAAGAUGAAAAGCACUUUGGAAAGAGAGUUAAACAGUACGUGAAAUUGCUGAAAGGGAAACACUUGAAGUCAGUCGCGUUGUUCAGAACUCAGCCUUGCCUUGGCUUGGUGCAUUUUCUGAAUGACGGGCCAGCAUCAAUUUUGACUGUCGGAUAAAGGCCAGAGAAAUGUGGCUCCUUUGGGAGUGUUAUAGUCUUUGGUUGCAUACGAUGGUUGGGAUUGAGGAACUCAGCAUGCCUUUAUGGUCGGGGUUCGCCCACGUUCAUGCUUAGGAUGCUGGCGUAAUGGCUUUAAAUGACCCGUCUUGAAACACGGACCAAGGAGUCUAACAUGCCUGCGAGUGUUUGGGUGGAAAACCCGAGCGCGCAAUGAAAGUGAAAGUUGGGAUCUCUGUCGUGGAGAGCACCGACGCCCGGACCAGACCUUCUGUGACGGAUCCGCGGUAGAGCAUGUAUGUUGGGACCCGAAAGAUGGUGAACUAUGCCUGAAUAGGGUGAAGCCAGAGGAAACUCUGGUGGAGGCUCGUAGCGAUUCUGACGUGCAAAUCGAUCGUCAAAUUUGGGUAUAGGGGCGAAAGACUAAU
rnacentral:rRNA from 1 species